rnacentral:misc_RNA from 1 species
CUAAGGAAUAUUACGGAAACCCCACACAUUCGUCAUUACUUUGUUCAGUUUUGAGAGGUCUAAUCUUCUCAUUUAAGUACCCUUAAAAAGGGGCCUUAGCUCAGCUGGGAGAGCGCCUGCCUUGCACGCAGGAGGUCAGCGGUUCGAUCCCGCUAGGCUCCAUUGUAACUUAGGUUGCAAAAUUAAUUUGUUCUUUGAAAACUGGAUAUUGUAAGAAAGCAAUUUAUGAAAAAAGAAACAAUGUAUACACCGCGUUUUAAAUGAGUUUUUUAACGUUCUUAUCGUAAGAUAAAACGUAUUAACGACAAUUUUGAGUAAUCAAAAUA